UACGUAGGGUGCAAGCGUUAAUCGGAAUUACUGGGCGUAAAGCGUGCGCAGGCGGUUAUGCAAGACAGAUGUGAGAUCCCCGGGCUCAACCUGGGAACUGCAUUUGUGACUGCAUAGCUAGAGUACGGUAGAGGGGGAUGGAAUUCCGCGUGUAGCAGUGAAAUGCGUAGAUAUGCGGAGGAACACCGAUGGCGAAGGCAAUCCCCUGGACCUGUACUGACGCUCAUGCACGAAAGCGUGGGGAGCAAACAGG
rnacentral:rRNA from 1 species